UACGGAGGAUGCACGCGUUAUCCGGAUUUAUUGGGUUUAAAGGGUGCGCAGGUUGUUUGAUAAGUCAGUGGUGAAAGUCUGUCGCUUAACGGUAGGAUUGCCAUUGAUACUGUUGGACUUGAAUAUGGAUGAGGUAGGCGGAAUGUGUAGUGUAGCGGUGAAAUGCAUAGAUAUUACACAGAACACCGAUUGCGAAGGCAGCUUACUAAUCCAUCAUUGACGCUGAGGCACGAAAGCGUGGGGAGGCAAACA
rnacentral:rRNA from 1 species